rnacentral:rRNA from 1 species
UAAAUGUUCUUCGUGAACAUAGCGAACUGCUCAGUAACACGUGGAUAACCUACCCUUAGGACCGGAAUAACCCCGGGAAACUGGGGAUAAUACCGGAUAAGCCAUAGACGCUGGAAUGCCCUAUGGUUCAAAGCUCCGGCGCCUAAGGAUGGAUCUGCGGUCUAUCAGGUUGUAGUGGGUGUAACGUACCUACUAGCCGACGACGGAUGCGGGUUGUGAGAGCAAGAGCCCGGAGAUGGAUUCUGAGACACGAAUCCAGGCCCUACGGGGUGCAGCAGGCGCGAACACUUUACAAUGCGGGAAACCGCGAUAAGGGAACCCCGAGUGCCAGCAUCAAAUGUUGGCUGUCCAGAUGGUUAAAAAUCAUUUGUUAGCAAGGGCCGGGCAAGACCGGUGCCAGCCGCCGCGGUAACACCGGCGGCCCGAGUGGUAGCCGUUUUUAUUGGGUCUAAAGGGUCCGUAGCCGGCCUGAUAAGUCCUUUGGGAAAUCUGACAGCUUAACUGUCAGGCUUCUAAGGGAUACUGUCAGGCUUGGGACCGGAAGAGGUAAGGGGUACUCCAGGGGUAGGAGUGAAAUCUUGUAAUCCCUGGGGGACCAUCUGUGGCGAAGGCGCCUUACCAGAACGGGUCCGACGGUGAGGGACGAAAGCUAGGGGAGCAAACCGGGAUUAGAUACCCGGGUAGUCCUAGCUGUAAACGAUGCUCGCUAGGUGU